GGAAGUAGAGAGGAGACAUUGCUAGACCUGGCAGCAGAGGAGAGAGGAACUUCCUGUACAGAUCACAUGACCACAUGCAUGAGCAUGGAGAAGCACCAAAGUCAAAUCACUGAGAGCAUAUUGGAUUUUGCCUUGGAGAUCAUCUACCUGCUGAUCGGAGAGAGAUUUCCUCUUCUGAAGUCAGGUGAUCAUAUGACCAUC